CGGUAGGUAUGCAAACUGGGUGAAGCAAGCUGUCUGUAAAACAGUGACGUAAGAGACGCUGGGGGUUCGAGUCCCUCCCUACCGACCA
rnacentral:tRNA from 1 species